GGUGACGUGUCUGAGCGGCCGAAAGUGCCCGCCUCGAAAGCGGGUGUAGCGAGAGCUACCGAGGGUUCAAAUCCCUCCGUCACCGCCAGCU
rnacentral:tRNA from 1 species